GGGAUUUCUUACCUCGUGGAUCUGGGAUUGUUACACGGAGACCAUUGGUGUUGCAGCUUCAUAAGACAGAAUCAGGAGCUGAAUAUGCAGAGUUUCUUCAUGCUCCAAAUAAGAGAUUCACUGAUUUUGUAAGAGAAGUGCUGGUGUAUGAAAUAGACAUUCUUGUUUACAUC